rnacentral:lncRNA from 1 species
CGCCGCCGCCGGGCGCUGAGCGUCGUACGGGGAGGAGGAGCGGGAGCUGGAGGAGGAGCCGCCGCCGCCGCCAGCUUCCUGCUUGACAUAACUCACUUCAAGAAGUGCACAAUGUCAGAACGUGGAAUUAAGUGGGCUUGCGAAUAUUGUACGUAUGAAAACUGGCCAUCUGCAAUCAAAUGCACUAUGUGUCGUGCCCAAAGACCUAGUGGAACAAUUAUUACAGAAGAUCCGUUUAAAAGUGGUUCAAGUGAUGUUGGUAGAGAUUGGGAUCCUUCCAG